rnacentral:rRNA from 1 species
AUGAACGCUGGCGGCGUGCCUAAUACCUGCAAGUCGAGCGAACGGACGAGAAGCUUGCUUCUCUGAUGUUAGCGGCGGACGGGUGAGUAACACGUGGAUAACCUACCUAUAAGACUGGGAUAACUUCGGGAAACCGGAGCUAAUACCGGAUGAUAUUUUGAACCGCAUGGUUCAAAAGUGAAAGACGGUCUUGCUGUCACUUAUAGAUGGAUCCGCGCUGCAUUAGCUAGUUGGUAAGGUAACGGCUUACCAAGGCAACGAUGCAUAGCCGACCUGAGAGGGUGAUCGGCCACACUGGAACUGAGACAGGGUCCAGACUCCUACGGGAGGCAGCAGUAGGGAAUCUUCCGCAAUGGGCGAAAGCCUGACGGAGCAACGCCGCGUGAGUGAUGAAGGUCUUCGGAUCGUAAAACUCUGUUAUUAGGGAAGAACAUAUGUGUAAGUAACUGUGCACAUCUUGACGGUACCUAAUCAGAAAGCCACGGCUAACUACGUG